AAAGAUUAACAAAAAUAGAUAUCUUAAUUAAGUAACUAAACAGCCUUCUUCGGUGGCUACAGCAUUUGUUGUAUUCAUCUGGCUUUCUUCGUUAUCUUUUUUUUUUUUUUGACGAACGCUUUCUUCGUUAUCAACAAUCAUUUUUCUAUUAAGUUGUAUCUUUACGAAAUUCCGACGAGUAAACUUAAUCAAAAACAGACAGACGGUCCACCGUUUCAGACUUGAGUUACAUAUAUAUUUAGCUGCGUUAAUUUGACUAGACUUAUAUAACUCGCAACAAUUAGUUACGAAUAAACUGAAUAGGGGAUUUCAAACGUGUUUGAAUACUUAGUUUUUUUCCUUUUUUUUUGGACAAAAAUUAGUUUUUUUUUUCCUUUUGGUGCGUUUUUGGAAGUGGUAAAGUAAAAACUGCAUACAUAUUUCAUAAAAAAAUGAGUGUGAUAGAAAGCCGUUACAAAAAAAAAUAGAGUGUGAUUUAACUCCACUGGCGCAACAAAAAGUAGAGUAAAAGGUCUAUGGGCUCGGCUCAUCAUAUUAGAGUAAGUUUUCUCGCAGUUUUUAUCGAGUGAAACUAUCAUCGCUGGAAAAAAAAUAAAACAUGAGAUAACAAAAAAAUAAUUACUCCAAACGUGGUGGAUCUAGAAUUUUUUUUUAAUCCAGUUUCCUCUCAGUUUUUAGUUUUUACCAAUCAAAACCAUCUAU
rnacentral:lncRNA from 1 species